rnacentral:rRNA from 1 species
CGCCUUCGGGUGACGGAGCGGCGAACGGGUGAGUAACACGUGGGCAACCUGCCCCUAGCUCUGGGACAACUCCGGGAAACCGGGGCUAAUACCGGAUACGACCUCUGCCGGCAUCGGUGGGGGUGGAAAGUUUUUCGGCUAGGGAUGGGCCCGCGGCCUAUCAGCUUGUUGGUGGGGUGAAGGCCUACCAAGGCGACGACGGGUAGCCGGCCUGAGAGGGCGACCGGCCACACUGGGACUGAGACACGGCCCAG